rnacentral:tRNA from 1 species
GGCAGGUUGGCCGAGGGGCUUAAGGCGCUGGUCUUGAAAACCAGAGGCGGGCACCGCCCGCCCAUCCGUUCGAAUCGGAUACCUGCCG